rfam:Pan troglodytes isolate Yerkes chimp pedigree #C0471 (Clint) chromosome 17, whole genome shotgun sequence.
GCUGGGCAUGGCGGUGCAUGCCUGUAAUUCCAGCUACUUGGGAGGCUGAGUCAGGAGAAUCACUUGCACCCGGGAGGCGGAGGUGGCAGUGAGACGAGGUUGUGCCACUGCACUCCAGCCUGGGUGACAGAGCAAGACCCUGUCUCAA